rnacentral:misc_RNA from 1 species
GAGUACAUAAGCAAUUAUACCAUAAAAAUUAACAACAAUUCUAAGAACUAUUUUCCACACUUAAUUAUUUUUUAGCAAGGAAACUCACUAAUACUUUUCAGAAUUUGAAAUUCCGGACUAAGUUUGAUAUUCCGUACUAAGCAUAAUAUUGAAUUGCUAGAUUUACUAGAACUAGAGCUUAAUAAAAUCAGAGAAAACUAACAAAUCCAGAGCUAAAACAGCAGAGCAUUACAUGUAAAGCAUUUUGGAGAUCUAGAAAAUCAGGUAUCAAUCAUGGCAUGACACAAAAAUAAUUAGCGAUAUCUUCAUUAUAUUUUAUCACAAAAACCUGCUUUAAAAAAUAACAUUCUUGAACCAUAUAGAACAAAUAAGGAUAGAGAGAGAGAGAGAGAG